rnacentral:lncRNA from 1 species
UGUUAGGUAUGUGAGUGCCACAGCUCGGAGAGCCGAUAAAAAUCCGGGUCGCCGUCAAGCUGCGUGAGUUGAGAGGAAGCGGCGCCUUCGGUGACUUCCUUUGGGGAAGGUUUGUUUUGUGCUGGUGAAGUGCUCCCCCUGGUGGACCAGGAGUUGAUAGGUUUGUGAUCGCGUUCUGUAGGGAGCAAAUGUGCUCUGGAGAAAACCCCCCGCAGUUUCAGAUACGCGGAGAUGUCCUCCAGGAAGAAAAAAAAAAAAAAAAAAAAAAAGCUAACUUUAAAGAGCACCAAACCCAAGCUCAAGACCCCGCUGGGCUCCGGCUUGAUUUUGAGCACGGCCUUCCUGCAAGAUCUCUGCUCUCCAUACCCGCCCUCAACAUGAAGAUUUACUUUCUGACGAUGAAGAGUGAAUACUCCUCUCAAGGACCUCAGCAAAUUUUUGGUCGGGGUCAGUGACGAGACAAGCACGUUUCGUUUAAACAUACUGCGCGUGUGUUCCCAACAACCCAACCCAGGGUCCCGAUUUCCAGUGCUGUGAAUUAGCUUGCCAGCCUCGUUCUUGCCAGUGGAUUAGCAAUAUUCAUUAUCUUGGCCCGUGGCCAAAACAUCUGGAAACUUUAGUAGGAGCAUCAUUUAAAAUAAUUCGUUCGUGCCAUUGUGACAAACCAGCCCAUUGGUUACCUGACCUUUUCACCAUCACCCAGUUGUCUUGCCACCAUCACCCAGUUGUCUUGCCACGUGUUUAAACAUUUUGGAUUAAACUUGCAUGAGAUCUUCUUGCCAUUCUGCAUUGGGAGGAAACGUGAAGUUUUGGUAAAAUAAAUAUCGGCAGCAAUAAAAGGGAUUGAAUUUU